UGCUAUUGGUCAUUCAACGUCGUUCAGCCACGGAGCAUGCGUACUGGGUGGGAUAUCCGGAAUGAAACGGUCCUCCAUGAGAGCCACAAGCGGAUGUGAACUUUGGUGGCUUGGCCAGAAUUUAUUGCCCAUCUGUGAUUGCCCAGAAGGCUAUCAAGUGUCAACUGCAUUGCUGUAUGGCUGGAGUCACACACAGACCAAACCAGGGAAUUGGAAAGGGAGCAUUUACUGACAGGCUGCUCAACUCAAACACUGGAUCAAGAACUGCCGGGAACACUUAAUUCUCAGGAGCUUUGAAUAUGGAAGGAACAAGUGUCAUUCACAGUGAAGAGAAACCAUAUACGUGGCCUGUGUGGACAAGCCUUCAGUCAAUUGUCUGGCCUGUCAGUACGUAAAUGCAGUCAAAACAGGGUGACAACCAUAACAUCAAACAGCUCUUGCUUUGUAAUAUCAUAGUGAAGGAUCUCAGUUUGAGUUAAGCAAGGGCCACUCAUCUCCUCUCCUCCCUACAUUCUUAGUGCAAACAUGGACCAAACAGCUGAAUUCCAAAUGUGAGAGUGACUAUCCACUAUCUUAAGGCUCCAUUUGACAGAGCAUUGUAUUAAGGAAUCAUGACAAAGCUAAGUUCAAUAGGAACCAGAGAAUAUUAUUCUUCCUUUGAUAGCUGGUUUUUGAAAAGAUUGCAUCUUCAGACCUCAGUAAAUCGAAACAAGGUGAAUUUAUUCAAACUUGUACCACAUACUUGUGGAAGAGGUCUGUAAGUUUAGUUCGGAGACACUACACCUUUUACAGCUCAAAACAGCAUAUGAAGGCAUUUUCAUGUAAAAAUGGUUGCAUAUGACAUUGAUAUAAAAUAAAUUAUUUCACUUACUUACUAUAAAAA